GACUCUCGGUAACGGAUAUCUCGGCUCUCGUAUCAAUGAGGAAGGUAACAAAAUGUGAUACUUGGUGUGAAUUGUGGAAUCUCAUGAACCAUCGAGUUUUUGAACGCAAGUUGUGCCCGAGGCCAUUGUCACCAAUGCGGGAUGGCAGGCAUUGGGCUAGAAACU
rnacentral:rRNA from 1 species